rnacentral:rRNA from 1 species
GUGCCAGCAGCCGCGGUAAUACCGGCAGCCCAAGUGAUGGCCGAUCUUAUUGGGCCUAAAGCGUCCGUAGCCUGCCGUACGGGUCCGUCGGGAAAUCCGCCCGCUCAACGGGCGGCCGUCCGGCGGAACCUGUGUGGCUUGGGACCGGGAGGCCUGAGGGGUACGAUCGGGGUAGGAGUGAAAUCCUGUAAUCCCGCUCGGACCGCCGAUGGGGAAACCACCUCAGGAGAACGGAUCCGACAGUGAGGGACGAAAGCCAGGGUCUCGAACCGGAUUAGAAACCCUUGUAGUCC